rnacentral:rRNA from 1 species
GACGAACGCUGGCGGCGUGCUUAACACAUGCAAGUCGAACGGAGUUGAGGAGCUUGCUCCUUAACUUAGUGGCGAACGGGUGAGUAACGCGUGAGGAACCUGCCUUUCAGUGGGGGACAACAGUUGGAAACGACUGCUAAUACCGCAUGGACACUAUCGGGCCGCAUGGUCUGGUAGUCAAAGAUUUAUUGCUGAAGAUGGCCUCGCGUCUGAUUAGCUAGUUGGUGGGGUAACGGCCCGACCAAGGCGACGAUCAGUAGCCGGACUGAGAGGUUGACCGGCCACAUUGGGACUGAGAUACGGCCCAGACUCCUACGGGAGGCAGCAGUGGGGAAUAUUGGGCAAUGGGCGAAAGCCUGACCCAGCAACGCCGCGUGAA